GGGUUGGUAGCCAAGCGGUGACUUAUGUCGAAGGCACUCGACUUUUAAUCGAGAGAUCGUUGGGUUCGAUCACCGACCCA
rnacentral:tRNA from 1 species